UCAAUGGAAUGAGAUUUCGGUCAAAUGAAGUUGAGGACAGUGGCGGACGGGUGAGUAACGCGUGAGGAACCUGCCUUUCAGAGGGGGACAACAGUUGGAAACGACUGCUAAUACCGCAUAACACAUUGAGGUCGCAUGGCCUUGAUGUCNAAGAUUUAUCGCUGAAAGAUGGCCUCGCGUCUGAUUAGCUAGUUGGUGAGGUAACGGCCCACCAAGGCGACGAUCAGUAGCCGGACUGAGAGGUUGAACGGCCACAUUGGGACUGAGAUACGGCCCAGACUCCUACGGGAGGCAGCAGUGGGGAAUAUUGGGCAAUGGGCGCAAGCCUGACCCAGCAACGCCGCGUGAAGGAAGAAGGCUUUCGGGUUGUAAACUUCUUUUGCAAGGGAAGAGAAGAAGACGGUACCUUGUGAAUAAGCCACGGCUAACUACGUGCCAGCAGCCGCGGUAAUACGUAGGGGGCAAGCGUUAUCCGGAUUUACUGGGUGUAAAGGGAGCGCAGGCGGCAUGGCAAGCCAGAAGUGAAAACCCGGGGCUCAACCCCGCGGAUUGCUUUUGGAACUGUUAAGCUAGAGUGCAGGAGGGGCAAGCGGAAUUCCUAGUGUAGCGGUGAANUGCGUAGAUAUUAGGAGGAACACCGGUGGCGAAGGCGGCUUGCUGGACUGUAACUGACGCUGAGGCUCGAAAGCGUGGGGAGCAAACAGGAUUAGAUACCCUGGUAGUCCACGCCGUAAACGAUG
rnacentral:rRNA from 1 species